rnacentral:rRNA from 1 species
UACAGAGGUCUCAAGCGUUGUUCGGAUUCAUUGGGCGUAAAGGGUGUGUAGGUGGCGCGCUAAGUCGGGGUGUGAAAUUUCGGAGCUUAACUCCGAAACUGCAUUCGAUACUGGCGUGCUUGAGGACUGGAGAGGAGACUGGAAUUCAUGGUGUAGCAGUGAAAUGCGUAGAGAUCAUGAGGAAGACCAGUGGCGAAGGCGGGUCUCUGGACAGUUCCUGACACUGAGACACGAAGGCCAGGGGAGCAAAACGGG